GUGGGUGGAGUUGCGUCCGCGUCGGUGAUGGGCGGACCGGCGUCGGAGGUCGGAGGAGCGGGGUCGGCGGCGGCAGGAGCGAUCUGAUAACGAUUGUGCUUCAGUCCCGAAGAAGAUGCAGCCUUUCUAAGUACAUCUCUGCCUAUAUGAUAUCCACGGCAGCAGCAGAUCUCCUCAUUUCAGGAAAUAAUUAACAAGAUGCACUGGAACUGCCUGCCAAUUUAUCUUCCUUCUCUUCAGUCCCCGGAAUAAUGUACAUCUGAUUUUACAGCAUCGCUACAGUUUGGAUUCCUUUUAUUUUAAUUGCCAUGUUUAAUUCAUUGACAAUUAGACAUAUUCUAGUGACCAGUAAAAACCACAGAUAGCUUCAGAGACAGCUGAAUGAUCCUCAGCGCGAUCCAGAAAUGGAGUACGGAAAGAAAUCCAUCAUUGUACUCUUUGCUAUUUUGGCCUGCUUUGUACAACUUUGGCUGACAGCUGUUGUGAGUUCUGUAACUGCUAGCCUUGCAACUGCAACUUAUCACUUCGGUAGAAAACCAGCAUAGAUUGCAGUUAAAACUGGAGCAAUGCUCAGAUGAAGUUACUGUUCAAUCAAAUGCAUUUACGCACUGACCUCGAGGAAAAUCAGAGAAACAUUGAUGAAUCUCCUGAAACCUCCCUCUAAAUUCAUUACAGCAUUCGUUAAACAGAGUAAGAAGAGGAGGUUGACUGUGUGUUGAAAGAAUAGAAUUCGGGUUUGAAUUAAAUUGGAUACUCUUCCUGUGGCAUUAUUGUUAGGAACAAUGAAUAAAGUAUUACGUGAUUAUCA